rnacentral:rRNA from 1 species
AUCAACUUUCGAUGGUAGGAUAGAGGCCUACCAUGGUGGUAACGGGUAACGGGGUGUUAGGGCACGACACCGGAGAGGGAGCCUGAGAAACGGCUACCACAUCCAAGGAUGGCAGCAGGCGCGCAAAUUACCCAAUCCCGACACGGGGAGGUAGUGACAAUAAAUAACAAUACGGGGUUCUUUAGGAUCUCGUAAUUGGAAUGAGUACAAUUUAAAUCUCUUAACGAGGAACAAUUGGAGGGCAAGUCUGGUGCCAGCAGCCGCGGUAAUUCCAGCUCCAAUAGCGUAUAUUAAAGUUGUUGCAGUUAAAAAGCUCGUAGUUGAAUUUCGGGGUUAGUAGGUUGGUCAUGCCUCUGGUAUGUACUGGUCUCACUGAUUCCUCCUUCCUGAUGAGCCGUAAUGCCAUUAAUUUGGUGUUGCGGGGAAUUUGGACUGUUACUUUGAAAAAAUUAGAGUGUUUAAAGCAAGCUAACGCUUGAAUACAUUAGCAUGGAAUAAUGAAAUAGGACGUUCGAUCCUAUUUUGUUGGUUUCUAGGAUUGACGUAAUGAUUAAUAGGGAUAGUUGGGGGCAUUAGUAUUCAAUUGUCAGAGGUGAAAUUCUUGGAUUUAUUGAAGACUAACUACUGCGAAAGCAUUUGCCAAGGAUGUUUUCAUUAAUCAAGAACGAAAGUUAGGGGAUCGAAGACGAUCAGAUACCGUCGUAGUCUUAACCAUAGACUAUGCCGACUAGGGAUCGGAUGAUGUUAAUUUUUUAAUGACUCAUUCGGCGCCUUACGGGAAACCAAAGUGUUUGGGUUC